rnacentral:sRNA from 2 species
AUAUCUCUCUGUACGGGAAGGAUGAGAAGCUUCGACCAAGGUUCGAUUCGAGCGUCAGCGAGAAAGCGUUGCCGCAGGCAACGAC